GAUGAACGCUAGCGGCAGGCUUAAUACAUGCAAGUCGAGGGACAGCACAGGUAGCAAUACUGGGUGGUAACCGGCAAACGGGUGCGGAACACGUACACAACCUUCCUUUAAGUGGGGGAUAGCCCAGAGAAAUUUGGAUUAAUACCCCGUAAUAUAGUUGAAUGGCAUCAUUUGAUUAUUAUAGCUACGGCGCUUAAUGAUGGGUGUGCGGCUGAUUAGAUAGUUGGCGGGGUGACGGCCCACCAAGUCUACGAUCAGUAGCUGAUGUGAGAGCAUGAUCAGCCACACGGGCACUGAGACACGGGCCCGACUCCUACGGGAGGCAGCAGUAAGGAAUAUUGGUCAAUGGACGCAAGUCUGAACCAGCCAUGCCGCGUGAAGGAUUAAGGUCCUCUGGAUUGUAAACUUCUUUUAUUUGGGACGAAAAAGGGUCUUUCUAGACCAACUGACGGUACCAGAUGAAUAAGCACCGGCUAACUCCGUGCCAGCCGCCGCCGUAACAC
rnacentral:rRNA from 1 species